rnacentral:hammerhead_ribozyme from 1 species
AUCCAGCUGACGAACCCUAAAUAGGACGAAACAAAUGUCCUAGAU